GCCUAGGUGGUGGAAUUGGUAGACACGCCAGAUUUAGGAUCUGGUAUCGAGAGGUGUGGGGGUUCGAGUCCCCCCCUGGGCACCA
rnacentral:tRNA from 3 species